AUUGCUUAUGGACAAUUACAAUUGUGAUAGAUAACCUGAAAGCCACUGUAAUCUUGGAUCAUACAAUAAUUCAUUUCGCCUUCUCAAAAGCUAAGAAAUUUUACCUAUGAAAUUUCACAAAACUCUUUUGGGAAUAGAAUGGAAAAAGAUAAAUAUAUAAAAUGGUGAAGCUCAAAAGCAUGGAAUCUCUAGUCUCUUUUCUUGAUGUAUGAUAAAUGAGGAAUUUUCGGGUGAUAUAAAGGAAGCUUUCAUGUGAGUGAAAGAAAACGUUGAUGCCUUUGAAGAACAAACAAAGAUAUGCAUGACAGCAGAAGAAAAGAGGGGAAGAAGUUGAAGAACGCUGAGACUAGAUAUUGAAAAUUAGAAAUUCAUUGAAACAUAUCUGUUGACAAGUUCAAGGUGACGAGGGAAGAAAGAGAUCAAGCAGGACAAAAGGCUCUGCCUAAUACACACAUUCCAGAGUGUCCACGAAGGUGUUGGGAGGCAAAGGGUGAGGAUUCUCUGUAGAAAGAAUGGAUUAAAAUUGUGCCAAGAAAUAAUCUGUUGAUAACUAAGAGUUUUUGUUCUUUCCAGAACUUGUCUGAUUCCACAAAGAGAGCAAAGAGAAUGACAAAGAUGGAGUCCUCAAAUAAUAAACGUGAUUAAGAGCAGAGCCCACUCCAGAUGUGAAAACCGUGACUGGAUUGUCAGUGAGGAGAGACUGGUCUCUGGGGUUUCUUGACCUCCCAAGGAGCAGUGCCUUUCAGAGGGCUGCCAGAGCAGAUUUUUCCUUUAAGCUCUUGUUUGUUAAUUUUUAUAUUUUAUUACUUAAAAAUGUUAUAUUGAUACAUAUUUGUAUAUAUUUAUGGAGCAGAUUUUAGAUCACAGAAUUCAAUGGUCUAAGGGAGAAGAGAUGAACAAGCUUGAUGUAACAAGGAGGGUUAAGGGUGAUACUUAGGAAAGGGGAGCACAUAUUAUAUUGUUUCCUAUUGCUGCUGUUAAUAAAUUUUCAAAAAUUAUCACAAAUAAUUGAUAAUUAUUUGUGAGUUUAUAAGUUUGUUGAGUUUAUAAAUGUGCCAGUUGCUUGGUUGUAUAUAGUAUAGGUAUUUCAGGACAUUCUUUGAGUUUCUUUUCUCAUGGUUUUCCUUUCCUUUUACUUUUUUUAAAAGUGUGUUGACACAUUUAUAAACUCACAAACUUAUAAACUCAUAAACUGCCUUAAAAUAACAUGAAUUUAUUAUUUUACAGUUCUGGAGGUCAGAAGUCCAAGACGGGUCUCAUUGGGCUAAAAUCGAGGUGUUGGCAGGCUGUGUUCCUUUCUGGAGGCUUCAGGGGGAAAUCUGUCCUCCUGCCUUUUCCAGCUUCUCAAAGCUGCAUGUGUUUCUUGGCUCGUGACCCUGCAUUACCCUGACUUCUGCUUCCAUUGUUGCAUCUCCUUCUCUGACUCUGACCCUUCUGCCACCUUUUGUGAGGAUUCCCUGCUGUUAACAAUACAUUUUUCAAAUAAUACAGAGGAAUUUCUCCCGAUUAAGAUCCUCAAUGUAAUCACAUUUGCAAAGUCCCUUUUGCCAUCUUAGUUGGCAUAUCUACAGUUUCCAGGGAUUGACAUGUGGACACCUUUGGGACAUGGACAUUAUUCUGCCUAUCACAGUUUCCUUAUUGCUUCUGUAACAAAUUGCCAUAAAUGAAGUGGUUCAAAACAAUACAGAAGUAUGAUCUUAUGGUCCUUGAGGUCAGAAAUCCCAAAUGGGCUCAAGUGGGCUAAACUCAGGGUGUUGUCAGGAAUGCAUUCCUUUCUGCAGGCUCUAGGGCAGAAUUCAUUUCCUUCCCUUUUCCAGUUUCUAGAGGCUACCUGUAUUUAUUGCUUCAUGGUCUCCUUCCAUUUUCAGAGCCAGUGAGGAUCAGUUCAGUCUUUCUCACAUUGCACCACUCUGACACUGACAGUUCUGUAUCCUUCUUCCACUUAUGAGGACCCUUGUCAUUCCAUUAGGCUCACCCAGGCAAUCCAGGGUAAUCUUUUGUCUCAAGGUCAACUGAUUAGCAGCCUCAAUAACUUUAAUUCUCUUUUGCCAUAAAACCUAACAUAUUUAUAAGUUCUGGGGAUUAGGACUUGGAAAUAUUUGGGUGAGGGUCAGUAAUCUCCUUGCCACCAAUAUGCUCUCUGAACUCCAAGUUCAGCCUGUAAGAUGCCAUUUACGCAAUUUUAUGAGUAGAGAAGGCAACCCAGAAGGGAAGUGCUUUACCCAAGGAAACAGUUAUUUUCAGAAACAGACCUAGAAUUGAACCCAGUUCUCUGUGACCCCAAAGCAUGGCUCUUUCCACCAAAAAUAUUAGAUACCAAGUGUAACUGAAAAUACACAGUGUGUAUCAUAGCCUGUAAAGACUGAGUAAAAUAAGAAGGGUCCGAAAGAAUAAUACAGGAAUGUUCCCAAAAGAUCAGGGAAAGUCUCUUUUGUUGAGAAACUUCUUAGAAACUAUCAAGCAUGCCAAAGGAGACAGGGAGAAAAGAAUAAUUCAGAAAAAGAAAAAAGCUUUCCAUAAAGGUUAGGACCAGGUAAAGGAUUUGGUGCUUCAAGUCCUUCUGCAAAAAACUUUUUUGAUGAUGUCAUCAUACUAAUGGGAACUUGGAGAAAAGUUCUGUGAUCUGUAUUCUCAAAUUUUCUAAGCCUUGGGUUUGCACCUGACUGCUGUAUUUUAUUUGAUGUUAAUGAUUGGUAUGAUUUGGCUCUGCGUCCCCAUCCAAGUCUCACGUCAAAUUGUAAUUCCCAAUGUUGGGGGAGAGACCUGGUGGGGGGUGAUUGUAUUAUGAGGGUGGAUUUUCCCCUUGCUGUUCUCAUGAUAGUGAGUUCUCACGAGAUCUGGUUGUUUAAGUGUGUAGCACUUCCGCCUUUGCGCUGUCUCUCUCUCCUGCUCCACCACAGUAAGAAGUGCUUGCUUCCCCUUCGCCUUCCUCCAGGAUGGUAAAUUUUCUGAGGCUUCCCAGCUAUGCUCCCUGUACAACCUGCAGAACUGUUACCCUUGUGACCUGGACUGGGUUUUCUAUGCAGAAUUCCAUAUCUCUGCUGCUGUGGGUGUUGGAGCCAGAAGGAAUAGGGCAUGUCCCUGCAAACCCCAUUGGCUGCUUUCUUGUGCCACUCAAGUUUAAAAAGGCACAUUACCUGUGUCCCUUUGGGGCCUGGGAAGAGGGUUCCUGGAAAUGACGGUGAAAACGGAAUCCGCACUUGUUCCAGGUUUUAUCAUGAAUUACAAUGUGCUUCAAAUAUCAGCCUAACCAACCCAGCUUCCCAGCUAAUUCCAAAGGGAUUAACUCUUUCAGUUCAAGGGGGCUCAAACUCUGAGCUAGCAGAAGUGUGUAUUCAUUCUAAAAUUGGAACAGAACAGGAUAAAACAGACUCUGAGUUUUCCUUAGAGCUUGACUCUUUGCUGUUUCAAAAUCUCUGCUUCUGACUCAACAUUCGUACUGAACCAAAAUGACGAGGACUCCAGAGGAUAAACCUAUGUCAACAGUUUGCAGCCACAGUAAUAUCUCUGCCCUGCCAAGGUUCCAUGUUCAGGUUUUACCUAAAAGUCCUCAAGGGCUUGAUACAUGUGAGUCCUGGACUACUCUCUUAGGUAGACCUUUUAACUAAGUCCACCUUGGUGCUUCUUGCCAGUUAGGCUGGUUUUGCAGACUAAUCUGGAGUCUCGCUUUUGACACCAGGGAACCUGCCUGUUCCUCCCUGACUUGUCUGCUACAGAGCACUGACCAGUAAGCCUCUGAUUCCUGAUGCAGAGUCUUGCUAGUUGUGGCUGCAUAGGCAAGCCAGCUUAACCUCUUUGUGUCUCUGUCUUUUUUUUUUUUAAUCUGCAAAAUGGAGUUUCAUUAGUUGCUUAUAUGAAUGCUAUGAUCAUUAUGAAUAAUUCAAAUAAUGAAUGCAGAAGUUGCCUUUUCAACAGGUACAUGAGAUGGUCUCAAGUAAUCUUAAUUAAACUUGGGUGUUUGUCUGUGCCUCUAAUAUCUGUCUCUUUACAGCUUUUAUAUCCUCCAGAUGCUUCCAGUGCAGGCCUCAGCUGCCUUGCCCUUCUUCCUUGUUAUUUAUACCCCUUCAAGUGCACACACUGACCUUUGCAUUUGAUGCCUGAAAAAUAAUUUGUUUCAACAUUCUACGUCUAUGUCAAUUAAAAUAAAUUUAAUGCAUUUCUCAAGCCCUCCACCUUCAUUUCUACUGGAAAAACCCAAAUGCAAAUGAGACGUCUGGUUCUAUGCACAGAUGGUCUGUGCAUUAUUUGUGUCUGUCAAAUCAAGCUAAUGUGAAACCUCAUGUCAUAGAGUCUGCGUGUCCUUUGUUUCUUUGCUAGGGAUUAUAUAUGAUGAAAAGAAAUGACCAGGAUAUGAAGAAAAUAUUUUCUGAAGUCACACUGAUUUGUGUUUUGCUGUAAGUCAAAUCAUUUGAUUAUUCUGAUAAUAUAUUUGUUGAGUCUUCCCAGGUCUGUGGCACUGUUUUUGAUUCUGUGGGAAAUUCAGGAAAACCACGCUGUAAGCUCUGCUCAGGAGGGUCACAUCAGAAGCCCUGUUG